rnacentral:rRNA from 1 species
GACGAACGCUGGCGGCGUGCUUAACACAUGCCAGUCGAACGGAAAGGCCCGCUUUUGUGGGGUGCUCGAGUGGCGAACGGGUGAGUAACACGUGAGUAACCUGCCCUUGACUUUGGGAUAACUUCAGGAAACUGGGGCUAAUACCGGAUAGGAGCUCCUGCUGCAUGGUGGGGGUUGGAAAGUUUCGGCGGUUGGGGAUGGACUCGCGGCUUAUCAGCUUGUUGGUGGGGUAGUGGCUUACCAAGGCUUUGACGGGUAGCCGGCCUGAGAGGGUGACCGGCCACAUUGGGACUGAGAUACGGCCCAGACUCCUACGGGAGGCAGCAGUGGGGAAUAUUGCACAAUGGGCGGAAGCCUGAUGCAGCAACGCCGCGUGCGGGAUGACGGCCUUCGGGUUGUAAACCGCUUUCGCCUGUGACGAAGCGUGAGUGACGGUAAUGGGUAAAGAAGCACCGGCUAACUACGUG